GACGUAGGGGACGAGCGUUGUCCGGAUUCAUUGGGCGUAAAGGGUGCGUAGGCGGCGCGGUAAGUCGGGUGUGAAAUCUUGGAGCUUAACUCCGAAACUGCAUUCGAUACUGCCGUGCUUGAGGACUGGAGAGGAGACUGGAAUUUACGGUGUAGCGGUGAAAUGCGUAGAUAUCGUAAGGAAGACCAGUGGCGAAGGCGGGUCUCUGGACAGUUCCUGACGCUGAGGCACGAAGGCCAGGGGAGCAAACGGG
rnacentral:rRNA from 1 species